rnacentral:rRNA from 1 species
AGCCUCCAAUCAGUCAAGAAUACCCGCUGAAUUUAAGCAUAUCAAUAAGCGGAGGA